GAAGACUUUACAAAACAUUCUUUUCAUUUCUAAAACUGAAGGUUAUUACAUAGGAAGAGUUACAUUUAUUAUAAGUCCUGAUAUACUCAAAGUGCAUAACCUAUUACAAUAGCAGGAAGGUAGGAACCCUCCAAAGCUUAUACACAAGCCUAACUAAUCCUCCUUCAGAACAGGAAACACCCUCCAGCCACAGGAACACCUAGAGUACUCCUCAUCACCUACAACAACAUGGGUUCGAAAACCCUGAGUACGGAGUGUACUUUCGCAAGUCUUACCCGACUAAGGAAAAAGACUCUCAAGGAUAUGAUGGAUUUAGAAAUCAAGGAGAGGCUUUUAGCAAGAAUCAACUUAGAUACUUUUGCAGAAAAAGCUUACUAAAGUGAGUCCUUACUUUCAAUAUUUUAAUGCCAGAUUAAAUAUUAAUAGACUCUGUUUGCACCUAGUCUAAUUUCACCAUCUCAUCAAUACAACAUCAUUUUUUACUCAUAAUGUUUAUAUCCUGACUUAGGUUGCAGGGCAGCGAUCAAGUCUCCACUCUCCGGGGAUAUAACGGCGAUCCGAAUCGAUUUACUUAGCUGAGGAUCUCUAACCACACGACAUAUGUUUCUCGUAACUCUUGCAUAUGUCUACCAUUCCCACGGAUCCUCCACUGCAUGAACAGGUCCGCGCCACCCGAGAGCACACCACCCCUUUUAGGCGAUCCUUUGCCAGGAGGGUACGUGCCACUCGCGCCAUCUCUCCACUCCCAGUGCGCGAUUGUCUUUUCAUGUAUGGAAUAGCCGGGUUCAAGCUUACCCUGUCCCAUUUCCAGGGCAUGUGGCUAGUUAAGAUAGUCCUUGAUCAACAGGCCUACAUACGCAUCCAAUCCUUAACUAACCUGGGUAGAACAUCACCUGUUCCUAGCCCAAGUCCCGAUUUAAGUACUUCCAUCCUUAGGAAAAGAGCAUUAUAGGGAACUUUGCAGUAAGAUCCCACCAUGCUCCCAAUGAAAAUAUUCUUGCAGGUAGAAGUCAUCCUUCCUCAGGAUAAACCUGAGCUAGGCAUAAGUGCAAAGGACAAACUCUAUCUGCUUAUAAGCAGGGCUAAGCAUUUUUUGUAAAUUAUAUUUUGAUACUUCGCCAGAAGUAUCUAUAAAAGGAAUGGAUUUCAAGGUAGCCAAUGCAUCAAAGGGUUUCCAAGCAACUCCUAUAAACCUAAUGCACAUUCACUAGACUUAAAGUGUGUAAAAAUAAUUUAAAAACACAAGGAAGGGGUUGCAUGCACCGGGGCUUGCCUUUGUUGCAGAGAGGAGGUUCUAGAUCCUUCUACCCAACCUUUAGUUAGAUAGCUCCAUCCACUUGAUGAGCAGGCACUGAAGUAGACUCCUUCAAACACCACUUCUUUUAGGUGUUCUACAAGUCAAUUACAAAUACAUGUAUGCUUAUGUUAUGAUAUGAAAUGCAAACUCUCACAAGGAGAGUUGGGGAACAUAAACACUCCUGAAUAAGCACAUGACAAGUAUACCAUACUUCUACACAACCUAGCACUUGAUGAAAGUGACCAAUUUGAAUUGACUUCGGUAAACCAGGGAACCAAUCCAACUUAUAUCUCAUCCAAAGCUUAAAAUUUCUUAAGCAAGUCCCUCACUUCACUAAAUUACUAGGUGUCCUCAUUUCGUCGGUGAAAUCCUUUUUAGAGCACACUUAAAUUACUUAAAAUUUGUAAACUGCACUAAAGAUCCCAAAAACACAUUUACCAGAGAGCUUACCAAUUUAGACAUCCCAUAAAAUUUGUCCCACGAUUUUACCAUAUUUCUACAAUUUGUGACAUAAUUAACAAGCUCUCAGAAAAAUGAAUAAAGGAAAAUCAUUAAAGCCGGGCUGAAACUGACCCACUCGGCCCAUUUCUAGGCAUAGUCGGCCCACAGACGGGAGCACGUGCCCGCGCGUGUAUUCUUGCACAAGGAACCCCGAUGCGCAAAACAAUUAAGUCGAGGCCCGACCACAGUUUUACUGUCUCUCUGACGUAUGCACAUAGCCCCCCUCUUCUUUGCUUUUGCACAAACUCGGCCACGACACCGCCACGCAAAUCUACGAUGAGCCGGCGCCAAAUCGACCACCGUGAUGUAACUCCGACGACAGCAAGGACACAAACAUAACCCUCAAACUAUGGCGAAUCAGGUAGGUACUUAUUUGUCCCGUGGAGAUCCUAAAACCGAGCUUUCGAUGGCGGUGGCGGCGAGCUCAGCUCGGCAAGACCAAUCCCGCGAACCCGUGCGAUAAAGCUCCGCCUAAGGACUCAGAGGGCUUCAGUGAUCACAUAAACCUACGGUGCGUGCGUGAAUUUGACCGAGAAUGGCACGUGUGAACGGGUCAAUGCGAAGGCUGUCCCCAGCGCCAAUCUGCAGCGGCACAACCUUGUUCUGGCCAGCAAACAAUGGCAACAUUAAAAAGGAGAAUCUAGUGAGCAUCACUGACCUUAUUUGAGCAUGGAACAAAUACCACACGGAAGAAAUCCAUCGAGGAAUCCUAGUCAUAGUGAGGUGGGGUUUUGGUGGACGUGGUCACCAAACAAGGGAGAGCACCAUAGGGCACUGGAGCCGAUCAACUAGGUGGCUGGGGAGGGAACUCAGACUUGCAACACAAACUGCAGAGAUACUAGAGCAACCAGCUAAAACACACAGACAGGGAGAAGAACUUCACUGCAGCCUUUCUUUCAAGCAGGCAGAUAAAAGGGCAGGGGGCAGGGAUCUUGGAGCUUAGCCAAGACUUGGAGAUUAAGGAUUCUCAGGGCGCCAGCACAACUUAGGCUCAUGUAAGUGGCUUGUUGUCACAAGCACCCUGCUGGCUCAGCAC
rnacentral:lncRNA from 1 species